rnacentral:rRNA from 1 species
AGCGAACGCUGGCGGCAGGCCUAACACAUGCAAGUCGAACGAACUCUUCGGAGUUAGUGGCGGACGGGUGAGUAACACGUGGGAACGUGCCUUUUGGUUCGGAAUAACUCAGGGAAACUUGUGCUAAUACCGAAUGUGCCCUUCGGGGGAAAGAUUUAUCGCCAUUAGAGCGGCCCGCGUCUGAUUAGCUAGUUGGUGAGGUAACGGCUCACCAAGGCGACGAUCAGUAGCUGGUCUGAGAGGAUGACCAGCCACACUGGGAGUGGGACACGGCCCAGACUCCUACGGGAGGCAGCAGUGGGGAAUCUUGCGCAAUGGGCGAAAGACUGACGCAGCCAUGCCGCGUGAAUGAUGAAGGUCUUAGGAUUGUAAAAUUCUUUCACCGGGGACGAUAAUGACGGUACCCGGAGAAGAAGCCCCGGCUAACUUCGUG